AGUGAACGCUGGCGGUAGGCCUAACACAUGCAAGUCGAACGGCAGCACAGUAAGAGCUUGCUCUUACGGGUGGCGAGUGGCGGACGGGUGAGGAAUACAUCGGAAUCUACUUUUUCGUGGGGGAUAACGUAGGGAAACUUACGCUAAUACCGUAUACGACCUACGGGUGAAAGCAGGGGAUCUUCGGACCUUGCGCGAUUGAAUGAGCCGAUGUCGGAUUAGCUAGUUGGCGGGGUAAAGGCCCACCAAGGCGACGAUCCGUAGCUGGUCUGAGAGGAUGAUCAGCCACACUGGAACUGAGACACGGUCCAGACUCCUACGGGAGGCAGCAGUGGGGAAUAUUGGACAAUGGGCACAAGCCUGAUCCAGCCAUACCGCGUGGGUGAAGAAGGCCUUCGGGUUGUAAAGCCCUUUUGUUGGGAAAGAAAAGCAGCAGGUUAAUACCCCGCUGUUCUGACGGUACCCAAAGAAUAAGCACCGGCUAACUUCGUG
rnacentral:rRNA from 1 species